GUCUCAGUUCGGAUUGAAGGCUGAAAUUCGCCUUCAUGAAGCCGGAAUUGCUAGUAAUGGCAGGUCAGCAUACUGCCGUGAAUACGUUCCCGGGCCUUGUACACACCGCCCGUCACACCAUGAGAGUUGGGAAUACCCGAAGCCUGUGAGCUAACUUAGGAGGCAGCAGUCGAAGGUAGAAUCAAUGAGUUGGGGUGAAGUCGUAACAAGGUACC
rnacentral:rRNA from 1 species